rnacentral:rRNA from 1 species
UACGUAGGUCCCGAGCGUUGUCCGGAUUUAUUGGGCGUAAAGCGAGCGCAGGUGGUUUAUUAAGUCUGGUGUAAAAGGCAGUGGCUCAACCAUUGUAUGCAUUGGAAACUGGUAGACUUGAGUGCAGGAGAGGAGAGUGGAAUUCCAUGUGUAGCGGUGAAAUGCGUAAAUAUAUGGAGGAACACCGGUGGUGAAAGCGGCUCUCUGGCCUGUAACUGACACUGAGGCUCGAAAGCGUGGGGAGCAAACAGG